AAGCACAUCCUGCAUAGCCCUAAAUCCAUUAAACCUUGAGUCACACAGCACAUGUUUCUGCCAGCACAGGGUUGGGGUUAGGAUUACAGAUUAACAGCAUUUCAAGGAAGAAGAAUUUUUCUUAGUACAGAACAAAAUGGAGUCUCUCGUGUCUACGUCUUUCUACAUAGACCCAGUAAUAGUCUGAUCUCUUUUUUCCCCACAUGAACAGCUUGAACCUGAAACGUUCACUUGAAACCAUUGCACAGGAAGUGGAUUUCUCAGCAGCUGUUGGUGGGGCCAGUGACCCCCUGAUAGUGAGCAGCUCUGGGAACAGAACUGACAUGAGUGUCUGGGAGGGGACAUGGGAAGGAUCUGCAUACAGAUUGAAGAUCCAAUUUUAUUAAUUUUCUAUACUAUUAUGUACUUUAAUAUGUAAUUGAUUUUAAGUGUGUCUCUGGAAACAUAAGCUUUAAUAGUUUACAUCUUCACUUAAUCACUUAUGAAAUCGUUUUAUAACCCUUCAUAAAAUUAGAUAGUGUAACUUCUCAAACUUUGUUCUCUGAUAAAGUCCUUUUGGUUAUCCAAGGUCUUUUGCAUUUCCAUAUGAAUUUUAGAAUCAGUUUGUCAAUUUUCUACAAAAAGAAUUCUGCUGGGAUUUCAAAUGGGAUUGCAUUGAAUCAGAAUCAAUUUGGAAAGAAUUUACAGUUCAACAGUCUUAGGUCUUCUACCCCAUGGCCACAAUAUGGCUCUCCAUUUAAUUAAUUAAAUUUAAUUAAUUUAUUUGAUUUCUCUUAAUAAUGAUUUAUAGUUUUCAGCAUCCAGGUCUUGCACAUCUUUUGUUAGAUAUAUCCCUAAGUAUUUCCUAUUUGUAUGGCAUUGUUACAGUAUUGUUUUUAAAAUUUCAGUUUCCAGUUGUUCAUUGCUAGUUUAUGCAAAUCUGAUGGAUUUUUGUGCAUUGAUUCUGUAUAUUGCCACCAUGCUGAACUCACCUAUCAAUUCUGGUUUCUUUUUUUGGUACAUUCCAUGGGAUUUUCUGCGUAGAUAUGAUGUCUGCAAAGAGAGACAGUUUUACUUCUUGUUCCCAAUCUGUCUUUACUUUUCUCUCCAUUUUACUCGUUUCUACUUGGAAGCUCAGGACAUUGGCUUGAGACCUUUAUUCCUUUAUAAUACAGGUAUUUACUGCUAUAAACUUCCCUGCCUUACAUGGGAUCCUACAAAUUUUGAUACAUUGUGUUUUCAUUUCUGCUUAGCUCAAAAUACUUUAAAAAUUUUUUUUGAGUUCUUCUUUGACUUAUGGAUUAUUUAGAAUGUGUUAGUUUCCUAAUAUUGGAAUAUUUUCCAGAGAUCUAUUAUCAAUUUCUAAUUUAAUUCCAUUGUUGUCAAAAAACAUUGUGUGCUUUCGAGUUUAUUGAUACUUCUUGUGUGAACCAGAAUAGGAUCUAUUAUGGUAAAUGUUUCAUGUAUGCUUGAGAAGAACAUAUAUUUUGCCAUCGUUAGGUGAAGUAUAGUGUAAAUGUCAACGAAGUCAAGUUGGUUGAUUGUGUUGUUCAAGACUUCUGUAUCCUUACUGAUGUUCUGUCUACUGGUUUUAUCAAUGAGAGAGAGGUAUUUAAAUCUCCAACUUUAACUGUGGGUGUGUCUGUUUCUCCAUAUAGUUUUACUAGUUUUUGCUUCAUAUAUUUGGAAGUUCUGUCACUAGAUGCAGAAAUGUUGAAGAUUUUUAUAUCCUCUUGAUGAGUUGACCCUCUUGUAUUAUAAAAUGACCCUCUUUAUUGCUAGUGAUAUUCUUUGUUCUGAAAUCCACCCUGUUUUAUAUUAAUAUAGCCACUCCAGCUUUCUUUAGAUGAGUGUACCCAGGAUAUAUAAUUUUCCAUUAUUUUUACUUUGAAUCAACUUGUAUCUUGUUACUUAAAGUGGGUUUGUGCAGCAUAUAGUUGAGUUGUGGGUUUUUUCUUUGUUUGUUUGUUUUUUUAGCCAAUCUGACAGUCUCUGACUUUAAGUGGUGUUUUAGACUAUUUACAUUUCAUGUGAUGAUUUAUAUGGUUAGGUUUAAAUCCUCCAUAUAUCUAUUUGUUUUCUUCUUGUCCUAUUUAUUCUUCAUUCCUUUUUUUAAUGUUUUUCUGUCUUCUUUUAGGAUAAUUUUUUAAUGAUUCUGUUUUAUCUCCUUUGUUGGCAUAUUAGCUAUAUCUAUUGUGUUAUUUUAGUAGUUGCAUUAAGAUUUGCAGUGCAGCUUAUCACCAUAAUUAUCAUUAUCAUUUAUUUUAUACUGUAAAUACCUUAAAAUAGUAUAUUUACAUUUCUCUCCACCUGAUCAUUAUGUGGUUGUUAUCAUAUAUUAUUCUAAACAUGGUAUAAACUCCAGAAUACAAUUUUACUGUUUUUUGCUUUAAGUGGCCAAUUACUUUUUAAAUAUAUUUAAAUAAUAAUAAGCAUUAAAUAAUUAUAAUAAAAUCAAAUAUAUAUAAUAUUAUAAAAAUCAUUUUAUGUUUACUCACAGCUAAUAUUUCUAGCGCUCGUUUUCUCUUGGUUGAUUCAUAUUUCCUUCUGGUAUCAUCUUCCUUCUACUUGGAAGACUUUCUUGAAGAUUUCUUAGAGUGUAGUUUUGCUGGUGAUUAAUUCUUUCAGCUUUUGUAUGUCUGAAAAAGUAUUUGGCCUUUGUUUAUAAGGCAUAGUUUUGUUGGAUAUAAAAUUCUAUGUUGACAUCUGUUUUCUUUCAGUAAUUUAAAGAUGUUGCUCCGUUGUCUUUUUUUUUUGGCUUGUAUUGUUUCUAGUUAAAAAUCUGCUAUCAUUCUUAUUUUUGUUCCUCUGCAUAUGGUGCAUACAAUUUUUUAACCCAUUUGGCUGCUUUUAUUUUUUUCUCUUAAUCACGGGUUUUAAGUAAUUUGAUUAUUGAAGUGGGUAGAAUCGUGUUACCACAAAAUAAUACAUCCAAGUCCUAACUCCUGGUACCUGUGAAUGUGACCUGAUUAGAAAUAUGAUUUUUCUAGGUGUAAUCAAGUUUAGAUGUGGUUGGUUAUACCAGAUUAGGAUGGGCCCUAAUCCAGUGACUGGUGUCUCUAUAAGGUGAGGGAAAUUUGAACACCGAUACACACAGAGGAGAACGUUGUAUGGAGACAAAGACACACAGAGGAUGCCACGUGAUGAUGGAAGUAAAGAUGGGACUGAUGCUUCAAGCCAGGGAACACCAAGGAUUGGUCGCAGCCACCAGAAUUACAAAGAGGCAAGGAAGCCUCCUCCCCUAGGACCUUCAGAGAGGGCAUGGCCCUGGCAACAUCCUGAUUUCAGGCUCUGGCCUCCAGGACUGUGACAGAAUAAAUUUAUUUUAAGCCACAUAGUUUUUGUUACAGCAGAUCUAGGAAACUAAUACAUUUGUGAUGUGCCCUGAUGUAGUGUUUCUGUUUCUUGUUCUUGGAUUUUAUUGAGCGUCUUGAAUCUGCAGGUUUGUCAUUUUCAUCAAGCUUAGAAACUGCCAUGAAAUCUUUAAAUAUUUUUCAGCUCUCUCCAGCUUCUUUGGGAAUGCCAGUGAAAUGACCCACAAAUACUCUGAUCAUUUUUUAAGCUUUUUAAAUUCAUCUGUAAGUUUUAUUUUGGAUCUAUUCAAUUGUUCUGUUGCUAUAUUUUCAAGUGCACCAACCUUUUCUUUCACAGUGUUUAAUCUGCUAUUCAUCCCAGCCAGCGUGUUUUUCAUCUCAGACAUUGUGGUUUUCAUCUCUUGAUUUUUUUCUUCUCUUGAUGUUUGAUUGGAGGCUUUAAUGCAUCUUCUCUAUCUCCACUAAAAUGUUCAAUCUUUCCUCUAGCUUCUUGAAUGUAUUUAAUGCCUUUAUUAUCACUGUUUAAGUGUCCUUGUCUAUUAAUUGUAUUAUCUGUGUUAUUUCUGACUUUCUUUGAUUGAAUCAUUUUUCUCAUUAUGGAGCUUAUUUUGUCACUUCUUCGCAUGCCUGGUAGUUUUUGAUUGGAUAACAGACAUUGUGAAUUUUGCUUUUUGGGGUGCUGGAUAUUUUUAUAUUCCUCUAAGUAUGCCCGAGUUUUCCUCUGUGACACAGUUAAGUUACUUGGAAACCAUUUAGUUCUUUCAGGACUUGUUUUUAAGUUUUCUGAGACCAGACCAGAGCAGCAUUUAGUCUAGGACUAACAGCGUACUGAGAAGCACUCUACUCUAUGCCCUGUGAAUUGUGAAAGUUUCCACUCAGGGUGGUGGAAACAGAAACUGUGCCUAGCUUGUUCCUUAACACUUUCGGAUGACUGUUUCCUUAGUCUCGGAAUAUGGAAGAAUCACGUAGCCAAGGCGUUUGUAUCCACUAGGUAGAACAGGCACAGUGCCUAGGGCCUACAAUAUUUUCAGGGGCUCAUGAAAAUACUUUAAUUCAUUUUAUGAUUGAAAAAAAGUCUAAGAAAAUGUUUUAGUACCUGCCAAGAUAUUCAUCUUUAUGGCAAUAUAAUUGGAAAACGUGGAUAUGUGGAGGAAGUGGUACAGGAAGGCAAAGUUGACUGGGGCCCACAGAAACAUAAUGCAAUCUUGCAUGUGGGUGGGGGAGAGCAUAUUGGCUAUGAGCUGGGGGUGAGCAUCAUCUCUCAACAGAUAGUAAUGAAAUGGUGUAAUUGGGUGAGCUUCCAAAUAGAGCUGGUUUCUUGGGAAACAAGCCAAAAGCAAAGCUUGGGCUCUGGGUUUGACCCAUAAUGGACUGGCAAGAGAAAAAAAGAGGAACAGGGUGGCCAGAGAGAGAAAGGCCGUCAAUGACGACGUGUGGGUGGAGUGCAGAGCAGGGCACUUAAAGUCGGUACACCCAGGACGAGUUCACUUGCAUUUCUCAGCCUGAGUUUCCUUGUCUCUACAAAAGAGUUAGUGCUAACUGCCUUGCAGGAAGGCUGGGAGAAUUCAAGGAGAUACAUGUGAAAGUUUUGCAGAAAGGACAACAUUCUCUGCAACUGUCUGUCAUUAGAGAAACAAGAAGGAUCCAAGUAAUGGAAGCCAAGAUUACAGAGAAGAGUGUAUUAGAGUCACAGAAGGUCAGAACUGGGAUACAUCCUUGGGGACACUUAAUCCAUCAUUCCUAGAGGAAGAAAUCAAGGUGUCAGAGGCAUCAGAAGCCCUGUGAAGUGAUGGAGACCAUGGACAGUGAUAUGGUUUGGUGUGUCCCCACCCAAAUUUCACCUCGAAUUGUAAUAAUCCCCAUGUGUCAAGGACAGGACCAGGUGGAGACAAUUGAAUCAUGGGGCCAGUUUCCCCCAUGCUGUUCUCCUGAUAGUGAGUGAGUCCUAACAAGAUCUGAUGGUUUUAUAGGGGCUUCCCCCUUCACUUGGCACCCAUUCUCUCUCCUGCUGCCCUGGUGCCUUCCGCCAUGAUUGUUAAGUUUCCUCAAGCCUCCCCUGCCAUGCGGAAUUGUCAAUUAAACCUCUCUUCUUUACACAUUACUCAGUCUGGGGUAUUUCUUCAUAGCAGGGUGAGAAUGGAGUAAGACAAACAGGAACUUACCCACCACCCAUACCGCCAUGAAGAGUCUGGAAAACAAUGUUUCGAAGAUUUCAGCCACUAUGAUCCUGGGAGAGACGUGAAGAGGGCCAGGAUGCUGCUGAGUGUCAAUCCGGUAUCCAGCACAUGGUACUCAACGCGAGUGUCAAUAAUAGGACUUCCCAUCCAGUUGUUAAUGAUAGCACUUUGAUGUUCCUAGCCCAAUGUGCUGCAGGUGAUAAGCCCUCAGAAUCUGCUAACUCACAAAGUCGGUUUUCUCAGAACCUGGUUAGAAUGACAGGCUCGUUUUUUUGUUUUUCGAGACAGAAUUUCACUCUGUCACCGAGGCUGGAGUACAGUGGCACAGUCUCGGCUCACUGCAACCUCUGCCACCUAUGCUCAAGCAAUCCUCCCACCUUAGCCUCCCAGGUAGCUGGGACUACAGACACGUACCACCACACCUGGCUAAUUUUUGUAUUUUUUUGCAGAGAUGGAGUUUCACCAUAUUGCCCAGGCUGGUCUUAAACUCCUGGGCUCAAGUGAUCCUCCUGCCUCGGCCUCCCGGAGCGCUGGGAUUAUAAGCAUGAGCCACUGUGUCUUACCCUCAGUCUCAUUUCUAAUCCCUAAUUGGGGAACUGUCUGAUUUGAUCGGACAGUUUGGGCCGUAAUAGGAUCCUUGUCCUUAUUAUCUGGACUCAGGACCAUCUGCCUCCUUUAUUCCGGCUCAGAGGGUGAAUGGAGACUCGGAAUUUCAUCCAACUGCUCAGAAAAAAACGCAAACAAUGAAUUACAAGAACAAGCUCAAUUCAAGACUAGAGUUCACAUUCUUAGAAGGCUGCAGUUCUUCAGUCUAAACAGAAUCAGUCAGAGUCUAACCAAUUCCUGUACGAAGGCUCAAGGCCAGGACCUGCCCUUAUAACCCUCCAUCCCAGAUGGAGUUAAUGAAACUGGAGUUCAGUCUUUGUCACUUUGUGCUCAAAUACCCUGGCUGGCUUGUAACAAGAAAGAAUUAGGGCAUAGCUCAGAUACAAAAGUGGAAAAAGAAACGGCUAUAAUCCAUGGGGAAGACUUUCUAUUUCUUAAUCUGUCUCCUGUCCCAAAUAGCUCAGCUCUCCUCCCCCAACUCGUGUUUAUGUGUUAAAUUUCUUUCUCUUGUAGCAGAUGCCACCAGACCGACAGUCUCUAAACUAGGUCAGAGAGAGUGAUGAAUUGACAAAGUCCCUCAGGCUACAUCAUCCGUGUCCUCACUCUGUCUCCAGUUCCCUGGCCUGCUUUCCCUGGCAUCUUAGGGUGGCCCCUGUUCCCAGAACCACAGAGGCCUGGGGGGUCCUCUGUCCAGCUCCAGGAUUCCUGAUUUGCAGAUUAUCAGCCCUCAUAGCUGGAAGGAUGGAGGGGGAGGUAGGGCUUAACUGUCCCCAGCCCUUUGUGCCCCUCCCAUAUGCUGAGUCCUCUCAUUUUCAUUCCACUCUGGCACUGAUGGAAUAAAGUCAGAGGACAGUUAGCCACUUGAAACAACAGCCAGAAAACCACACUUCUCUUCUAGAACUUUCAUUGUAUUGGGGCCCAUUUCAAACAAACAGAAUCCAAGUAAGUCCCUGCUGUGUGCAGUUGUAAUAGCAUUGAUAUAGCAGGUGGAGAAUAGGUUUUUUUGUUGUUGUUUGAAAUAGGAUCAAAGGAACCUUAUUUCAAAUUCCAGGGCACUGAGACCAAGAGAAAUGAUGACUUGUCCAAUGUAACACAGGAAGGAACAGAGUCCAGGGUGUUAAAAACUUCAGGUGAAUUGUAUUUAAAGGACUUUAAUUGAACAAUGAACGAUUCGUGAAUCGGGCAGCCCUCAGAGUCACAGAGAGACUCCAGGGAUGCCUCAUGGUCAGAACAAAUUUAUAGACCAAAAAAAAAAAAAAAAAAAAAAAAGGUGGGGGGAAGUGACCUAUAGGAAUCUGCAGUGAGGUACAGAAACAACUGGAUUGGUUACAGGUUGGUGUUUGCCUUGUUUGAACUUAGUUUAAACACUCAGCAGUGAAUGAAUGGUUGAAGUGUGGCUGCUGGGAUUGACCAAGACUCAGCUAUUGUUACAGGUGCAUACGCCUAAGUUAGGGAUUCAAUCUUGUCUGCCUAGGUUAGUUUGUCCACAAGGACUCAAAUAUAGAACUUCAGAGUCCUUCUCAGGCCGUAUUUAGUUUGCUUUAACACAAGGGUCAGACUGCAGCCUUACACUUGCUUCCUCCUUCAGUGCACAGCAACAACAAACAAAACCUAGAUCCGUUUUUUUCUUUUCCGCAAGAUGUCCUUUACGAGAAUAGAUGGGUCAUACUUAUGACUAACAUUUGAAAGGGAAAAUGUUGCAUUUUACAAAAGAUUACUGUCAUGAAUAUCGAAGCAAAAGUCCUGAUGGAUAUUAUAGACUUGGGAGUAGAUGAUUUUUCUUUCCAGUUGGUAUUUUAAAAAUAAUGUUUGGAUUUUCACUCCUGGGUAGGAUGCUGUAAAUUGUGGUAGACCAGCACACCCAUCCAGAAAAAAAGCUGGAUCAACUUCUUUAAAUCAUAGGAAUUUUUUAAAAGCAUAGGAAAACUGUGGGACCAAUGAGGACUAAAUCAACUGAAAUUUCAGGGAAUCAUCACUGUUAUGAAAUGAGGUGUCAUUGCUAACAGGUUUUCAUCCCCCCUGUCCCCUGGGGGACAUUUGUCAAUCCUGUCUCUAGGCUGAGAAUCAGACUUGGUCCGGAAAGAGAUCACCUGCAGGGGCAGAGAGAAGCCAGUAAGGCUUUUAGGAGUGGAGUUGUGUGGGUCUGGAAGAGAAACUAGAAACUUGAAAGACCCAAGUGCCCAAUUUCAAGCUGAAUGGGCGUCUGGACAGCUAGACUAUUAUCUAAAUGUCAAAGGGAAAAACCUUGCAGCCUCCAAUGCUCAGGGAACAAAGACCUAUCAAUGGAGAAAUCGGCAUCAGGAUCCCCAGUCACCUGCUUCUCAAGACAGGCACCAGGAUGAAGCUGCCUGGGGGAAAAGGCUGGGAACCUCGAAUCUCCUGCAGAUCUCAAGGCGAAGGUGUUUGACACCUGCCAGUCUCUCCGUCAGGAGGUUGCAAGGGCAUGCCCAGAAAAUAAGCAUCAUGAGAAGAAGACUGAGUUUAUCUGAGGUUUGACUGCAAAACCAGCCAUAACCCAGCUAAAUCCCUGAUUGGAUUGAAAUGAUCAUUCCUUGAAUUUAUCUGCACAGUAGAGCACAGAGGGCUCUGCUAUGGUGGAAGGCAACAUGUGGAACCUCCAUUCUUAUUCUCUUUCUAAAUACACAGUGUUGAGUGUUUAAAUGUAUUAAAUUUCAUUAAGAUUAAACAUUUAAAAGUUACCAACUAUACAAAGAAGUGGAAAAAUAUAACUCUACAAUCUAGACAUUAACAUUGCCUGUAUGGAUUUAAAAAGAAAACCAACCAUAUGUUACUUGGGUAUUUUAAAAAUAAGAGCACAAAAAGUUUGAAAGUAAAAUAUAGGAAAGAAAUGAUGUAAACACCAACCAAGAGAAAGCUAGUGAAGCAAAGUAGACUUUAAGUCAUGAAUGGAGCCAGAAUCACAUAGGAUUCAGAUAUUGGAGGGAGCAGACAGGAGUUUAGAAUAACCAUAAUUAAUAUGCUAAGUCAAAUGGAGGCAGGGUGUACAGAAUGAAUGAAAAGAUUCAGAACUUCAAAAAAAUUGUAAAUUACAAAGAGUCAAUAGAAUUGGUAGAAUUCAAAAAAAAGUUUGAAAUUAAUAAUGAAAUGGGUAGUUUCAACAGCAGAUUAGACACAGCAGAAUACAAAAUUUUUAAAUUAGAAGAGAAGUGCCCAGGGACAGAAAAAGAAAACAUACAUGGCAUAAGAGAUACAUGGGACACAUUCAUAAUGUUUAUCACAUAAUACUAUAUAUGUGUAUAUAUGUACUCUAUAUAUAGUAUUACAGUUUAAGAAAGAGAAACAUAAGACAAAAUCAAUAUUUUAGAAAUACCAAAUUAGUAUUUUUCAAAACUUAUUAAUAUUGAUCCCCAUAUUUAAAAAACUCAGAACCUCAAGCAAGAGAGACACAAGCAAAACCACAAGUAGGCAAAUCCUAGUAAAACUGUUGAAAAAUGAAGAGAAAAUCCUAAAAGUGUCCAGAAGCAAAAAAAAAGACACAUUACCUUCCAGAAAACAACAAUAGAAAUGACAGCUGACUUCUCAACAGAAAUGAUGAAAGCUGGAAGUAAUUUAAUAACAACUUUGAAAUGAUGAAAGAAAAAUAAGACACAAUCUAGAAUCUUAACUCAGUAAAAUAUGCUUCAAAAAAUAUAGUGAAAUAAAAACAUUUUGAAGCAAAUGAGAACUGAGGGCAUUUGUUGCCAACAGGCCUGCAUUAAAAGAAUAGUAAAAGACAGUUAUUCUGGUAGAAGAAAAAUGAUCCAGGAUGGGACUGUAAUAUGCAGGAUGAAAAGGAAAAAAAGAGAAAAUGUGUGAUAAAUAUAAAUGAAUAUUUAUUGUACAAGGCAAUAACUGUGUCUCAUGAAAUUUAAAAUAUAUAUAGAAUUAAAAUGCAUAACAACAAAAACGCAAAAGGUGGGGGUUGAUGGAUAGAAGCCAAAGAUUCUAAGUUUUUGCCAAUAUCAGAGACAUGGUUGAAAUAAUUAUAAAGUAUAACUAAGUGGAUAGAUGGAAAAUACGGAUUAAUAAAAAUUGUUUGACUACUC